UAUUAUUGUGAUGUAUUUUGGUUCUGUUUUUCUAUUUCUUUGGGUUUUAGUUCUGUUCUUCCCCAGUUUAGUGUUUAGUCUUUUCUGCCUGUAUAUUCCUGUGUCAAGUCCGCAUUUCUUAGUGUGUGUCUUUGCAUGUGUGAGUUCCUGUUUUAUUUUGUAGGUCUCUGUCUCUUGUCAGUGUUUCUAGUUUCACUCCCCUUGUCUCUCCCUUAUGUCCAAUUAUUCCCAGCCGUGCCUCCCUCCUGUUUCCCAUUCCCUGAUUACUCCCCUGUGUAUAUAAGCCCUGUAUUUGCCCUUGCUCUCUGUUGUGUCCUACCCUCAUGCUGUGUGGAUCUCCCUGUGUUUCCCCGUUUUCUGCUCCUUCCAUAAAAGUGAGAUUUCUGCCUCUGUGGACUCGAGCCCUACCAGCUACACCUCACUACUGGAAGACCAAAGGAAACAAACCAGCUGAAGGUCUUUACCUUGAUUGUAGCCAGAUGUUCUUUCACUGAUUCCUGGAUGUAUUGAUGACGUUCAACCGAUUUUUCCUUGUCAGCCGCUUUUUCUUCCUGCUGUGUGAACCAGUAAAACCCACCUUUUAUCUCACUU